UAGAAUCAAAAUCAAUUUAGCUCUAGCGCGAGAGCGCCACCACCAAUUCUUCUUCCCUCCAGCGCCAGAGCUACCACCGCCACUUCUUCCUCCCUACAGCGCCAGAGCCAUCACCACCUCUUCUUUCUCCCUUCAGCCCGGUAGCGCCUCCCGCUCGACCAUCACACAGAUCCGAUUCGGCCACCGCGCAGCUUCGAUUGAACUCGGCGUGAGCCGCCGGUGAUGGUGGCUGACUGAAAGAGGCGGCUAGUGCAAUCGGCGAAGCCAGCUGCCGUUCGCCUCUCUAUUUCCCCGUCUCACAGGGAGGUGAGCUUUAAGAAUACAAUACACUUGAAGAUAUCAUGGACCUGUAUCUGGCAUACUUGCAAGUAACACAGCAGCAGUAGCUCGUCUCUUGGUUCAGAGCACUCGUCUAUCAUCAAAACUACACAUUGCACGAAACGUUGGUGUCCUCGUAGAUCAAGUGGAAGUGAGGAUCCUAAUUUUGUUACUGGAAUCAAGGAUUAGUGAUAUCUUAUGAAGGUUUAGGUGUAUAAACUUGAUACGAUGUAUUUCUUUUGAACGUACGUUACACACUUUUGUUGCUUGUUAUAACUACUACCAACAUUUAUCCCUAUUAAUCAUAAUUUUUGGGUUUAAUGUUUA